rnacentral:rRNA from 1 species
AUACGUAGGGAGCAAGCGUUGUCCGGAUUUACUGGGCGUAAAGCGCGCGUAGGCGGCAUACUCAGUCAGAGGUGAAAUGCCCGGGCUCAACCUGGGAACUGCCUUUGAGACGGGUAAGCUAGAGUCCGAGAGAGGGUGGCGGAAUUCCCAGUGUAGAGGUGAAAUUCGUAGAUAUCGGGAGGAACACCAGUGGCGAAGGCGGCUCUCUGGACUGACACUGACGCUGAGGUGCGAAAGCGCGGGUAGCAAACAGGAUUAGAAACCCCGGUAGUCC